rnacentral:rRNA from 1 species
AACGAACGCUGGCGGCGUGGAUAAGACAUGCAAGUCGGACGAGACUUUUCGUUGUAGCAAUACGAUGGAAAGUCUAGUGGCGAACGGGUGCUUAACACGUGGGCAACCGGCCAGGAAGUGGGGGACAGCUCGCCGAAAGGCGGAUUAAUACCGCAUGUGAUCAGAGAGGACAUCCUUUCGAAAUUAAAGUCGGGGCAACCUGACGCUUCUUGUGGUGCCCGCGGCCUAUCAGCUAGUUGGUGAGGUAACGGCUCACCAAGGCUUUGACGGGUAGCUGGUCUGAGAGGACGACCAGCCACACUGGGACUGAGACACGGCCCAGACACCUACGGGUGGCAGCAGUCGAGAAUUUUUGACAAUGGGGGAAACCCUGAUCGAGCGACGCCGCGUGGAGGAUGAAGGUCUUCGGAUUGUAAACUCCUGUCAUUGGGGAACAAUGCGCAAAUAUUAACUGUAUUUGUGUUGAUAGUACCCGAAGAGGAAGAGACGGCUAACUCUGUGCCAGCCGCCGCGGUAACAC